UUUGUUGUGUAUCGAAACGAA
ensembl:piRNA 21ur-13911 ncRNA